rnacentral:rRNA from 1 species
AACGUAGGAGACAAACGUUAUCCGGAUUUACUGGGCGUAAAGGGCGUGUAGGUGGUUGUGUAAGGCUGGCGUGAAAUUUUUCGGCUUAACCGGGAAAGGUCGUCGGAUACUGCACAACUAGAGGACGGUAGAGGCGUGUGGAAUUCCGGGUGUAGUGGUGAAAUGCGUAGAGAUCCGGAGGAACACCAGUGGCGAAGGCGACACGCUGGGCCGUACCUGACACUGAUGCGCGACAGCAUGGGGAGCAAACCGG